rnacentral:rRNA from 1 species
CGGGAAUAUUGCGCAAUGGAGGAAACUCUGACGCAGUGACGCCGCGUAUAGGAAGAAGGUUUUCGGAUUGUAAACUAUUGUCGUUAGGGAAGAUACAAGACAGUACCUAAGGAGGAAGCUCCGGCUAACUACGUGCCAGCAGCCGCGGUAAUACGUAGGGAGCAAGCGUUAUCCGGAUUUAUUGGGUGUAAAGGGUGCGUAGACGGCUUUGCAAGUCAGAUGUGAAAUCUAUGGGCUCAACCCAUAAACUGCAUUUGAAACUGUAGAGCUUGAGUGAAGUAGAGGCAGGCGGAAUUCCCCGUGUAGCGGUGAAAUGCGUAGAUAUUAGGAGGAACACCGGUGGCGAAGGCGACUUUCUGGACAAUAACUGACGUUGAGGCACGAAAGUGUGGGGAGCAAACAGGAUUAGAUACCCUGGUAGUCCACACCGUAAACGAUGGAUACUAGGUGUAGGAAAUGAUUUCAUUUUCUGUGCCGUCGCAAACGCAAUAAGUAUCCCACCUGGGGAGUACGGCCGCAAGGUUGAAACUCAAAGGAAUUGACGGGGGCCCGCACAAGCAGUGGAGUAUGUGGUUUAAUUCGAAGCAACGCGAAGAACCUUACCAGGGCUUGACAUAUAGAUGAAUAACUAAGAGAUUAGUUAGUCCUUCGGGACAUCUAUACAGGUGGUGCAUGGUUGUCGUCAGCUCGUGUCGUGAGAUGUUAGGUUAAGUCCUGCAACGAGCGCAACCCCUGUGAUUAGUUGCCAACAGGUUAAGCUGGGAACUCUAAUCAGACUGCCGGUGAUAAAUCGGAGGAAGGUGGGGAUGACGUCAAAUCAUCAUGCCCUUUAUGUCCUGGGCUACACACGUACUACAAUGGCUGUAACAGAGAGAAGCAACACCGCGAGGUAGAGCGAAACUCCAAAAGCAGUCUCAGUUCGGAUUGAAGGCUGAAAUUCGCCUUCAUGAAGCCGGAAUUGCUAGUAAUGGCAGGUCAGCAUACUGCCGUGAAUACGUUCCCG